ensembl:lncRNA
CUCCAUUAUACUCCUGUACACUCCUAGACAGACCAGUGUUCUGUGGCUGCAGUGCAGAGUCCGUCGACUGUGUCCCGGCUUAGCGGCGGCUUCAUACGCUGGCUUCCAGUCAUAUUCCCGGAGUCGCUGUCAAGAGCAAUAUCUGCAGGAGGAAGAUCAGGACGACGCUGAUACUCCGAACAGCUCUGACACAACCGAUGAGAUGCUGCGUCUUUAUCAGAAAGAUUCUUACUGAAGAAGUCCGUCCAUGAGGCUGAAAGCUGCUGUGAAGUGAGGCUCCUCAUCACCGUGGCGACGCUGCAGCAGCUGGAUGUUCGGGCCUCGUCGGGUUCAAACUCGCCGUUGGAGCUGAAAGUCGCUCCUCGAUCUGUCGCCAAAGGAGGCCGAGGUCGAAGUCCGGAUGAUCCGUCCGAGAUGCCCUGAAGCAGAAAAUAACCGCAACUGAUGAGGAACAAGUUAAUCUGCUUUAUGUUUACAUAUAUUUCUAUUUACAGGCUGAUAACAGCGUUUAUUGUGUAUUCAUGGCUGUUUUGUGUCUCAUUGUGGUCAUUUUUCAUCUAUUUCUGGUUGUUUAGUUUUCAUUGUGGUCAUUUUUCAUCUAUUGGUAGUAGCUUCUUGACGGUUUAUGGUGGUUUUUUGUCUCUUUGCUUUUGUUGUGUGUUUCUUUGUAGUUGUUUUUUGUCUAUUUGUGGUAAUUUUUUUCCUAUAUGUAGUAGCUUCAUGUCUGUUUAUAGUGUUUUUAUGUUUCUUUAUAUUGUUUGUGUCUAUUUGUGUAUUUGUUGUGGCUAAUUCCAGUAUUUUCAGAUUUAAUUUAACUGUUUUUAAGCCAAAGUAGUUGUCUAUUUUUCUUAACUUUAUAUAAUAACAAUCUGAAUUUUAAUAGCUCUUUGCAUUAAUUCGACUUUUUACCUUAUAAAUGACUAUCUUCAGACCUUUCAGAUUAUAAUUUUAUCUUUUGAAUUCAUCAGGCUUUUGAACACUGAAUGUAUAACAUAUUAUGGAUAUGUUUUUGACUAUUUAAUGCAUGACUGUCAGUUUUUUCAACUUACUAUUCUU